rnacentral:rRNA from 1 species
GAUGAACGCUAGCUACAGGCUUAACACAUGCAAGUCGAGGGGCAGCGGUAUCGAAAGCUUGCUUUCGGUAGCCGGCGACCGGCGCACGGGUGUGUAACGCGUAUCGAACCUGCCUCAUACUCGGGAAUAGCCUUGCGAAAGUAAGAUUAAUGCCCGGUGUUUUCAGAGUCCCGCAUGAGGCUUUGAACAAAGAUUUAUCGGUAUGAGAUGGCGAUGCGUCCCAUUAGCUUGUUGGCGGGGUAACGGCCCACCAAGGCAUCGAUGGGUAGGGGUUCUGAGAGGAAGGUCCCCCACAUUGGAACUGAGACACGGUCCAAACUCCUACGGGAGGCAGCAGUGAGGAAUAUUGGUCAAUGGGCGGAAGCCUGAACCAGCCAAGUAGCGUGCAGGAAGACGGCCCUCCGGGUUGUAAACUGCUUUUAGUUGGGAAUAAAACGGGGCUCGUGAGCCCCCUUGCAUGUACCAUCAGAAAAAGGACCGGCUAAUUCCGUG